rnacentral:rRNA from 1 species
GAUGAACGCUGGCGGCGUGCCUAAUACAUGCAAGUCGAGCGAACAGACGAGGAGCUUGCUCCUCUGACGUUAGCGGCGGACGGGUGAGUAACACGUGGAUAACCUACCUAUAAGACUGGGAUAACUUCGGGAAACCGGAGCUAAUACCGGAUAACAUGUUGAACCGCAUGGUUCAACAGUGAAAGACGGUCUUGCUGUCACUUAUAGAUGGAUCCGCGCCGCAUUAGCUAGUUGGUAAGGUAACGGCUUACCAAGGCAACGAUGCGUAGCCGACCUGAGAGGGUGAUCGGCCACACUGGAACUGAGACACGGUCCAGACUCCUACGGGAGGCAGCAGUAGGGAAUCUUCCGCAAUGGGCGAAAGCCUGACGGAGCAACGACGCGUGAGUGAAGAAGGUCUUCGGAUCGUAAAACUCUGUUAUUAGGGAAGAACAAAUGUGUAAGUAAAUAUGCACGUCUUGACGGUACCUAAUCAGAAAGCCACGGCUAACUAC